rnacentral:misc_RNA from 1 species
GUUCGAAAUUGAAGCAUCCAAAAAUCAUAGUUAAAAUCAGAAAAUUAAACUAAAAUCUUGCAUAUUACCUAUGACCAAAAAUUGAGAAACAAAUAGCGAGGAGCUAAAUUGAUGUCGGUUUAAGAGCAGAGAUCAUAUACAAAGCUUGCCAUUGAUUUUUGAACAUGUAUAUGGAAUCGAAGGGUUUUUUUCUGCCUCAAAGUCCCCAUUGCUUGAUCCAAGAAAUCAAAUUCAACAUCCACUUCCAAUUAAAACUCAUCUUCUCAAUUUCG